ensembl:snoRNA
UGUUCCUGUUCUGGGCAAAGUGACAUCAACCUGCAUGGUGUUCAUCUUCUAUCAGCCAGGGGCAAAACAAUUCCGUGUUUAUCCCAGCAUGGGUUUUGAUCUAUGGCUGUGCCUGGUUCAUGCAUUGGACACACAU